AUCAGGGGUAAACCUGUGGAACUCGAACGAUCGAACGGGGAGAUUCAACGCUCUUCCGUCGGGGUCCGCGGCGCGAGCGUCGUUCGCGUGUCGUUCUCGGCGCGCGGACGUCUUUCGCGUCGUAGCCAGACCUCCGGAGUGCGCGCACUUCUCCCUCAGUAUAACACCGCGACCCGUUGUCACGUCGGAGGUCGAACGCGCCGUGCGGUUGUCCCGUCUCGUCUCCCGUCAAAAGGAGACGGAGCGGAGCCGCGGUGUCGCGACUUCCGGGCGACGGUAAAGAACGAGGAUCGAGUCCGCCCCUCGCGGGCGUCCGCGACGUUGCAGCGGCGUUCCCCGAUCGGACCUCGGCGCGCAAGCGUCUUGGCUCUGGUCGCGGAGAGCACUAGGGCGUCGCCCUUUGUGACGUCGUCUCGGACGGGACUCGUCCCGGUCGGCGGUGGUUUUGUUUCGGGCACUCACAGGACCCGUCUUGAAAC
rnacentral:rRNA from 1 species